rnacentral:miRNA from 1 species
UUACGGCAUUAAAAGUAAAUC